GGGGGUGAUCGGUUUCGACUUUGACGGUUGAAGUGAGAGAAGCGAGCCGUGGUCUCCGGAUCCACGAAAAAGAGCCGGAAACAAACACAAACGCCAACGUCGAACACGCUCAGCGUGGCGAUCUGGUGCUCGCAGCCUGAUCUCAGGUUGUGAGUUCGGCCCGAUAGCCGCAGUCCUGCGGGCGUCGGUGCCAUCAUCUGCAGGGCUUGCCCGCCGCCCGUGCCGACGGGGCGACGGGGACACGCACAGACGGCUACGGCGACUGGCAGGGUGUCGCUGCCCGCCAUCGCCCGACAAUCCCCCAGCGACUGCGCUCGGAGAAGACUCACCGAAACGUUGAAGGACGCGGGUUCGAUUCCCGCCACCUCCACUC
rnacentral:tmRNA from 1 species